AACUACCGACUGGUAUCAGAGCCAAGCCUACCGAGAGGUGGUAUCAUUAGUAAUGUCAAAAUAAUAUUAUUUGAUUUCCUAGAGGAAGAUUACACAAAUAUGGAAACAUCUUCAUUUUCAAUUUCAAUUCCUUCAUCGUCUUCAUCUCAUAUCUCUCUUUCCUCUACCCUAUCUCUUCCAAAAUCAUGUUCAAAACACAUAGCCUCCAAAUUAAAAAUCUUGUUGAAUAUUCCUAUAUUCCUGAAUCUGCCCAAAUCAAUGAAUCUCAGUUCCCCAUCAUGAGUCCUUAUAAUCUAUACAAACAAAAAACUUCUUUCACCAGAAGUAUCUGAACCCUGAUCUCCACCAAAAGACACUCCCAAAAGAAUAUAUUCAGUCUUCUAGACUGGAUCAGUGUGCUUUACAAGCCUCUCAAAGUGAGCAGUACGUCACUUUAGAAAUACCCCCAGAUCUCGUAGCAAACUGGAAACGAGAAGGGUAUACACAACUCCAUCUUGGUGGUGUUAGAUUGAUUCUGACCCUCCAUGGUAGAAAAGGUUUACCUGUUACAGCCAGAAUUGCUCUCCUAGACACCAGGUUCAAACAGUACCAACAUGCUGUUGUAGGAACCGUCCUGACCACACUUCAUGCUCUCUCUUGAGGAUCCCAACCUUCCCACAACCGUUAAGGUCCAAAUCCAGCUCCAAGGAGCAGAACAAACACCCACAUCAAAGAUAGCAACUCUUCAUCACCAAAUAGUGUAUCGAUUACAGAAUCAUGCACUCGAUCUUCCCACACCACACACUAUAUCCGAUGCCUUAAUGAUCCUAGCAGACACAGACACAAUUCCAACCAUCAUCCAAAUUCCCAAACAAAUCCAGAAAUAAGAAUUGCUCAAACUCAUGCCUCUUGAAUGGUUAACCAACUAUGAGCAUUUCCACCAAAACUCUGAACCAGUUCAAACAACAGAAGCCACGUUUGAAAGACGACAAAAUGGUCAAGUCAAACUAUCUUUUCAAACACCUGAGACCAAGCCUGUUUCAGACACUCCAAGGCUUUCCUACACUGCUAUGAUUACGGCAGUUCAAACUGGUCAUGAAAAGAAACUUCCCAUUCAUGGUUUCUCAUCAGAAGGGUAUCCAGUAUAUCCAGAUAAAAUCAAUGGUCACUUCUUAUGGGAUGUUCCUGAAGCCCAUAUGUGCAACCCAGAUUAUCCUUGCUUGGAUGAUACGGAUGUUGAUGACGAACUAAAAGUUAUGAGGAGAAAGAAAAAGAAAAAGAAAAAGACAAAACCUUCUCAUCCAAAACAUCUUGCAAAUCCUUUCCUCCACAAUCUCCACCAGAUCCCAAAACCUCCUGUCCAUCCAAUAAGAUCAUGCCUCAUGUUUUCAAGUCAAUCCUAUGAGGAAUCAUUUCCUCCACUUGAAAAACAGACAGACACACAAACCAGAGUUAUCUCAAAACCUUUUGUCCAAUCUCCCGUUACUGCCUCUGGGCAACCUGAAGAACCAAAACAGUAUGAGGCUGCUUUAAAUUGGCAAACCAAAAAUGCCAAUGCUCAAAAUCAAACUCUUCAACAACUCGGUCAGGUUGAUUGAAUCAGCAAUCGUCUUGACCAAAUGUACAUACAUCUACAAGAUCGUAUCUCUGAACUAGAUACCGAUCUCAGACGAAUGAUCAACAAUCACAUCUGGGGUCCAGAGUUUAACAAAAAGGAAGUAGAGAUCAGAAAGCUCAAAGCUGAAUUGGCAAGAAUUGAUGCUGACAAGGCUCGUCCGUCACUUUUUACUCAAACACAAACCACACCAGUACCUCCUCCAAUGUUUGAAACUUAUGCACCUUUCUACACACCAUCCCGACCUCAACAACCGGUUUACAACCAGUUUUUGGAUUCUCACACCUUCAACCAACUCCACAACCGAAGCCAUCUUCACCAAAAAAAUCAAAGUCCAAAGUAAAAAUUUCAGAACCACAGUCAAAGGCCACUUUCAUCUUCAUCUGUUCCCCCAGUACCCCCACAAUGAAACUUUGAAACCCACACUUAAUUUGUAGUUUCAACUUCCCAAGAAAGUUCUAAACAGAUUUAUAACAAACAAAACCUUGACCAAUGCUUAAGAAAAGCAUGAACCAAAGGUAUAGAGAAUGAUAUUGACGCCACACUCAAGAAAUAGAUGAGAAGGUGAGUGAUAAGUCUAAAUUUGGAACGCCACAAGAAUGCAAAUUCUUGAUAAGUUCACUAGUUCUCAAAGAACCAAAGAAGAAUAAUCUUUCAAAUUCAAAUAACAUUAAUCUUAAUUAUUAUUACAUAGCAAGGUUGUUGAAUUUAAAUAGGCUAAAAGAAACCCAAGAUCCUAAAAAUACAAAUGGAAAAUUAGAAUAACCCUCCAAGUAGGUUUGUCAAAGGAUGUUUCAAAAGUCUUCACCAACCCACCAAUUAAUGCUAUCUUUGACAAACUUAAUGCUAGCCUACUAUAAUUAAUGCUAUCAUUGACAAACUUAAUGUUAGCCCACCAUUAUUGAUGGUAGACUUACCUUACACAUUGACAAACUUGAAACAAAACAAACAAAUGAAGUUGAAAAACAAAGGAGUCGUUGAAAAUCCCAAGUCUGAACAAGUUGUAAUGAAUUGGUCAUAACUCCUUCUAGAGAACUCCAAAUCCAGCUCUGUAAAAUUCUUUGGAAAGCUAACUUAAUUAUCUUCAACGGUAUGUAGCUGGCACAUUAAUUCUAGAUCAAUCAAUACAGUUUUUAUUCCAAAUUUGACCUUUCUGCAGUUGAUACAAAUUGUGUAUUUGGCUGCCCAAUAACUUGAAUAAUGCCCACAAUGCCUUGUCUUCUCUUCAAGCCCAAUUCAUGAUGUCUUGCAUCUUGAAUUGCAUUUUCAAUCCAUAUUUUCUCAAUUAAUCCAUUUAAAGCAGCUUGCAUCUUUUAGGCUCUUGCUCUUGUAAUUGGGCCUCCAUGAAUGUGCAAAGGAUCACUUGAAGUUUUAAUGGUAUUCCUUUGAUGGUUCUCAUCAUUCCCCCUCUCUUCAAAAGAAUUCAUCCUCGAAUCUUCACCUACAUCGAAAGGAGAAAGAUCAGAAACAUUAAAAGUAACACUCACAUUAUACUCACCAGGAAGAUCCAAUUUGUAGGCAUUGUCAUUGAUCCGUGCAACCACUUGAAAUGGACCAUCUCCCCUUGGAAACAACUUGGAACGCCUUUGUGCUGGGAACCUCUCCUUUCUCAUAUGCACCCAAACCCAAUCUCCAGGCUGAAAAACCACUUGCUUACGUCCUUUGUUGGCUUGAGUAGCAUAUUGUUCAGUUCUCUUUUCUAUGUGUUGACGUGUUCUCUCAUGCAAUUGCUUGACAAAUUCAGCUUUCUUUUUACCAUCCAUACUAGCACGCUCAUCAAUAGGUAAAGGUAAUAAAUCCAAAGGAGUUAAUGGAUUAAAACCAUAUACAAUCUCAAAUGGUGAAAAUUUAGUAGUUGAAUGGACAGUUCUAUUGUAAGCAAAUUCAACAUGUGGCAAACAUUCUUCCCAAGUUUUCAAGUUCUUUUGAAUAAUGGCACGCAACAAAGUAGACAGUGGCUCAACUUACCCCACAAAGUUUUCCAAAAGUGGCUCAAGAACUUAGCAUCUCGAUCUCAAAAACUAUGCUCCUUGUACUCCAUGCAACCUGACUAUUUCCUUGAAAAAACAAAUUAGCUAUGUUGUUGCAUCAUCAGUUUUGUGACAUGGAAUGAAAUGUGCCAUCUUUGAAAACCUAUCAAACAACAACAAAAACAGAAUCAUUUCCCCUUUUUGACCUAGGUAAACCAAAACAAAGUCCAUAGAAAAUAUCAACCCAAGGUUCACUAGGUAUGGGCAGAGGGUUAUACAAUCCAUGGGCAUAUUCUUUCAACAUAACGUUCAUAUGUGGCCAAAAGAAGUGUUCUUUUAAACAUCUAAAGUCUUUGCAAUAUCAAAAAUGUCCCAUUAAACCACCCCCAUGAGCUUCAUGCACAAGCAAUUCAUGCAAAGAACUAUGAGGCACACACAAUUUAUUUUCUCUAAAUAAAAGCCCAUCAUGCCUAUAGAUACCAUGGGGUAGUUGUAUGUGGCGUUGUUACAACCAGAUCUAUGACAGAGCAAAGUCUAUCCUUAGGGCCAGUAGCCCGCAAGUUCUGGUUUCCAGCCGAUAUACACUUAUUCGUCAAAUACCAAAUCCGAAAAUCAUUCUUUAAAACCAGUUUUUUUACGUUACCACCGAAAACACGGUACUUGGCCAAACAAGGGUGAACAUUGUAAGAAAACCAUUUUAACUUACAAAAAAUCGAUUUUGGAGGAUAAACAUGACUUUUCUGAUGCACAAGAUCCUUAGGCUUAAGGCAAGUUCAGAGCAUACUCAGUUUAGAAAUAGAGGUGAAUGUGUCUUUAUUAUUCCAAUCUAGAUUCUUGACCCCUAGAAAGAGAGAAGAUAGUUUAGCGAAACAUAAUGUAAGAAAACUUAUAUCUUUGAUUGAUCAACUCAUGAUUUACAAAGCAAGGAAGCUCCUUAUAAAGAGAGCUCAGGGAGGAAGAGAUAAGGUGGGACCUUUCUAUUUACAAAAGGAGAGACAUAAUUAUGAAAGCAAUAAAGCAGGAAAGCACAACGGGCCAAAAAUACAAAAGCAAAAGCAAACUUUAGACAAGACAGGACCCUGUCUAAUUAUUAAAGCACACUUUAAUAAAAGCAAAGCUAAAGAUUCCAUGUGGGGCAUCAUGGAGUGGAUGGGUAACGUGAUGGUGACACGUCACCUGUGGCUUUUUUCAUAUUGGCACUUGUGCCGACGUAUCUGGUUCUGGUCUAGAUCGUUUCAGCUUGGUGAUAUUGUUAUUCAUCAGCAUCGGUCAUGGGCUGUGAUGUAGAUGCAACCCGAGAGCCUGGAUUGGUGACAGUGUACGGGUAUUAUCAGUCGGAGGAGAGAGUGAAAAUCUUCCCAAGGUCUUGAGCAUCUUGAACAAGACAUUUGUGUAGUCAAGACGCUGUUCCAUGACAAGAAUGCCAUGUGGCUUGAACUUGAACCCGAGUACAUGUCUGAGUCUUUGGGACUAUUUCCAAACUGUGGGAUGGUCCAAUGGAUGUAUGAUGAAUGUUUGUGGCAAGUGGUGAGUUCCAUGAGAUAAGCUCGAAGGACGGAUGUGAUUGAGGUGUCAUGGAUAAGUGAAUAACGAUGGGGACAAGUUUUCCAUUCGUAAGCCAUAUCUUGAGUCAAUAGUCUCUGGUUUCAGGGUGUUGGAAAUAUGGUCGGUGAACAAUGAAAACGGUGGUGAACAUGUUGGCUUCAUGUCAGGACUAAAUUAACCUGUGAAAAGAACACAGAUUCUGGAGCUGUUUACGCCACCAUGUAAGGGUGAAUACCAUCUAAGAGAGUCCAUAGAAGGGCAGAAGAGAACUCAGGAGAGUGAGUGGUAGAGGACUGUUUGAUAGGCAAGACUAGCUUGUGGCAUACAAGGUUGUAAGACACCACAUAUACCAUAACUCAUCUUCUGAGAUGGUCAGGGUAGACAGGGUGAGACCUGUGAGAAACAAGUUUUUCCAUACAAAGUGUAGGAAAACGAUAAGGAGUUUUGGUGUAGGCGUUGAAGAAAAUACCUGUAGAGAAUUCUUACAAAAUCCUGAAUUUGUAGGCUGAUGAAAAAGGAAUGUCAAGGAAAAGAUCGUUGGGUAAGAGCUUGAAAGGAACUUGUCGAUUCAUGGCUAUGACUGGGAAUGAUGCUUAUGGAAGAGAGAGUGAAGGUUUAUUUAUAGCCGAGCGAGUAAGGAAGUCAGGGAAUUAGGUCUGUUUACCUUUGAUGUGCUGGACAGUAAAGUCAUACUUUGAGAACCAAGUUUUGAGAUUGAGGAGCUGCUUGUCAAAAGCAACUUGUUCUGAAAUCAAAGAUUCGGGGAAAAGAAGAAUUGUCCAUGUUGAUAAGGAAUUGGUGGCUGAUGAGGUGGAAUUCAAAACUUUUUGAUCCCGUAUUUACCGCCAAAAAUUUCUUUGUAGAUCACAUGGUAGUUCUUUUAGAGUCUUUGAAUUGUCCCACUUGCAUGAGCACAGAAGUGGUACAUGCCAUCUAUCUCGUUCAAGGAGAAUGCACUCCAAUAGUCGUCACUGGCAUCUGUCUGCAGAAUGCGUUGACCAGUUGUUGGAAUUCUGAGUGGAGGAGGUGAUUGGCUAUCACUUUUAGCUGUUUGAUAGCUUCAGUCUGUGCUGGUCCUAGGGAGACACUGCUUUUUUAGCAUACGGGGAACUUAUCAUCUUUGAGAUCAAACUUAGAGAAGAUACGUGCCCUUGAAGAUGGACAAACAGGUGGAUUUGGAAAGGGGAACUUAUCAUCUUGAGGAAAGAAUUGAGAGGCUGGUAAUCAAUGACUAACCAUUUCUUUCCACGGACUAAUUCAGACCUUUUUUCAACAUAGAAGGCUUGACAAGCCCAAUCUGAAUCAGUUGGUUCAAUCAGACCUUGCUGAAGCAACUGAGAACAUUCUUGCUUAGCAAGUAAGAAGGUCUGAAGGAGACAAUACCCGGAUGGGAGGCUUUGGUAGGGUUUAUGUCUUCGUUGAGUUUGAAAGGAAGAUGAAUAAAGAAUGUUCAUUCUUCCGAAGAGGAAAGGAUGAUAAAAUUGAGAAUGAUUAUCUGGACAAAACUCAAGAAGUUUCUGUGAAAUGUGACUGUAAGGAGUUGGAACAUCAGUGAUGGUAUAACAACGAAAGAACAUUGGUAUAAGGCAAGAACAUUAUUUGUAGCGAAUCCCAGAACAAGUAAGGAAUAGAUUUUGACCAGAUGAAGGACGUCAAAAAACCUAUGAGUAAGUCUUUGUCUGGAAGGGUAGAAGUACAAUCUUUUUCCAAAUAAUACAAUUCGGAAAAAACUGGAUACUAAUGGGUUUUUGGUAAUUAGUUUGUUUCAAACAUUUCACCAUUGACAGCUCGGAAUAAUUUGAAUGGUUUCCCAAUAGUCGAGGUAAAGAACAAAAGGAUCAAUCAUACUGGUAUCUGCACCAGUAUCAAUAAACCCAAUAACAGGAAUAGGUUUAUGAAACUUUGAAGGAAAGAUUGACAUUCUGAGGAAGGUCUAGGGACGGAUGAGACCUGGUUGACAAUUUGGACUGUAGAGAUAAUAGAAAUGUCAUCAUAAUCAGAUGAUUCUGCUAAGAUGAAGGCAGUCUGAUCAUUUUGGCUUGACUGUUAAGAGAAAUUGGAUUCGACAUCGUCAUUUUCCGAUAACAAUGAAGAAAUGUGGAGAUGUUGGAUAAGUCGAACAACUUUUACAGAUUUGUAGGACAGUUUCGAGCAAAGUGACCGUGUUUCUUGCAAAUGAAACAACGGUUAUGUUUCUUUUUCUGAACUGAGAAACAUCUUUUUUCUGAAGUACCGGAAAGGCUUUUUGGAAGAAGAUUUUUUGUGAAAGUGUUUCUGGAAAUGCUUUUCUUCUUGGUUGGACAAAAACAUUUCUUUUCAUCUUUGCAUUCAAUCUGGAGAUAGGGUUUUUUGCAGGCUUCAGAAGAAGGGUUUAGGAUUCUAAGUUUUUAAGUUACUUUGGUAAACAUUAUGGACUAAGUUAGGAAUUAAGUUGUUGUUUUUAACUACUUUCACCCAUAAACUGAUGGUCAAACAGAAGUUGUGAAUAUAACUAUUAUUUAUGUUAUUUGCGGGCUGUCAUUAAAAAGAACACCAAAACUUAGGAAAAUUGUUUGCCACAUGUUGAGUUUGCUUAUAAUCGUUCUGUUCAUUCUACUACUGUUUGAAAUUGCUUAUGGUUUUAAUCCUUUAACCCCAUUGGAUUUAAGUCCACUACCUGUUUUUUAUCAUGGUAACUUAGAUGGCAAGAAAAGGCCAAAAUUGUUAAAUAGAUACACGAGAUGGCAAAGUUCAACAUUGAGUUAUUUCCAAAAUGAAGGAAAUUUAAGUUAUUACCUCAAGGGGAUAGUCCUUUCCAAAGUUUUGGAACGGAUUAAUGACAACACGUACAAGCUGGAUUUGCUUGGUGAGUACAACGUAAGUGCUACUUUUAACAUUUUUUAUUUGAGUCCUUUUGAUGCAGGGGAUGAUUUGACGACAAAUCUGACAUCAUACGCCCAAGUUACGGUCUGUUUAAGAUCAAUGGCUCUACAAGCCAAGGCCCAUGCGGCUCCGAGAUUUAAUUUUAGGGUUUUUUUUCAUGUUUUUAAGUUAAAUUAGGGUUAGCCACCUUAUAUAAACACUCUUUUAUGUUAUUUAAAUGCACCUUUGACAAUUUUGAGUUUGAUAUCAUUGUAAAGGAUUUUAUCAACUUGUUCUUGACAGAACUUUCGACUUAUCAAAUGAGUUCUAGCCUUUGUGGCAUCCUAUUUAGUAAUCCGGGUUCUUGAGACUUAGCUUCUCAAGGGUUUGGAUCUUUAUGAUUAUAUUGGCUUUCUUGGAUUCUUAUCAAUCUAGUUGUGGGUUUUUCUAGCUAGAUCUAGAGGGGUUCUCAUCAACUGCUUUAAAUGGAUUAAUUGAGAAAAUGUGGACCAAAAAGCAAUUCAAGAUGCAAAACAUGGUGAAUUAGGCUUGGAGAGAAGACAAGGCAUUGUGGACAUUAUUCAGGCUAUUGGAACAGCCAAAUAAACAAUUUGGGUCAAUGUAGAAAGGGAGCGCAACAUUAAUAAAAUCUCUAGCCUUCUAUAAUCAUGAGUUUCUAAAUUUUCUUUUCUCUUUGGUAAUGAAGCUCUAACCGAUUUAAAAAUAAGACGAAAACUUACAUCUGUUCAUUUUGAAACUAAAGGAAGUAUGCUCUGCACUUGCCUCUAGCAAGGAUCAUGUGCAUCAAAAUUAAUGUGCAAGCUAUAUACCAUUGAAAAGAUGAUUAAACUAUCAUAAUGAAGAACAUUCUAGCGGCAUAACUGGUCUAGAGGUUUAUAUGUUUUCAAUUCAAAUAGGAACAGUCUUAGGAGGGAUAGAGGUGUCAUAGAUUGAUUAAUGGCAUCAAAUUGUGUUCAUUCUCUUCUGUAGCCAUGUGAAAAGCUUGAAGCUUUAUAGAGUGGAGGGAUAUCUGGAUGAGAUAUGUCUCCUAUCUCUUUUCGUACUGCUUUUGGGCUUUGUGAACUUGUUGGUAGAUCAGAUAAUCUUCAUCAAGCUCAUCUUUUUCUGCAGUAGCCAUAGUAGACUGAGAGACUGGCUUAGUAGGUAAACACUGAGACUCUUGAGAUGGGAGAAGUGAGUGAAAGUCUUCCCAAGGGUCUUGAGCAUCUUGGAAAAGGACAUUUGUGUAGCCUGGGCGUUCUUCUCUGACGAGAAUACCUUGUGGACUGGAACUUGAACCUGGAGUGUUUGCUUGAGAUUUUGGUAAAACCUCAAGAGAGUAAGAUGGUCCUAUAGAUGUGUGACAGAUGUCUGUUGGAGUUGGUUGGACAUUAUUGAGUUCUAGAAGGUAGGCUCUAAGGGCUGAGAUUAUGGUUGGGUCAUGGUUAAGUGGAAAUGGGUGUGGAAAAGUUUUCCAUUCAUAUGCAUGGUCUUGUGUCCAGUAGUCCUUAGUGACUAGGUAUUGAAAAUAUGGUCUGUGAAUGAUGGAAACUGAGGUAAAUAAGUCUGCUUCUUGAUCAGGAAGCAUGUUUAACUGAUGAUGGAUUGAAAUGUUUUGAAGUUAUUUUGCGCCACCAAGUGAGUGGUGAAAACCAUUCAAGUAAUGUCCAGAGGAGGAUGGUGCAUGGUCAGGAGUUGUGAUGUGCCUGAGGGUAGGUUGAAUAGGGAGGACAAGUUUAGUGGCAAAACAGGACUGUGAGACACCAACAUACCAUAAUUCAUCUUCUGAAAUGGUCAGGGUUGGACUGAGAGUGAAUCCUAUAAAAAAUAGGUGUUUCCAAGUGAAGGGACGGAAAACGAAGUGGUUGGGUUCUGUAGACAUUCAUGAAAUACCUGAAAAGGAAUUUUCUGGCAAAAUUAUGAAUUUGGAAGGUUGAACUGAAGGAGAGAUUGAGAGGAAAAGUCUUUUGGGUUAAAGGUUUGAAAGGAAGAGAACAAUUCAUGGCUAUGAUCGGUAUAGUCUGGAUAUAAGUGAUGAGGGUAGGUUUAUUUAUAGAUAUCACCUUUAAUGUGCUGGACAGUAAAGUCAUACUUGGCGAACCAAGACUUUAAGCUGAGUAAUUGCUUGUCUGGAAGCAAUUUGUUCUGAAGUCAAGAAUUUUUUGGAAAGAGGGAGUUAUCCAUCCUGAUAAGGAAAUUGUGACUAAUCAGAUGGAAUUUAAAUUCUUGAUUCCAUACUUGACUGUUAAAAUCUCCUUGUAAAUGACAUGAUAAUUCUUUUCUGCAUUCUUGAACUGUCCACUUGCAUGAGUGCAAUAUGACUCUUUUUCACCAAUUUUCUCCAAAAGAAUGGUACUCCAUUAUUCAUCGCUGGCGUCCGUCUAACAGCUGUUGUCUGUUCAGGGCCCCAUGGUGGGGGUUGUUUUUUCAGCAUGCACGACAGUUUGCUCGUAUGGACCGCAACUUUGGGAAUAAAGUCUAUUCCAAGGAACUAUUGAAUUUGCUUUUUGUUGAGAUCUGUAUCUAGGAACUUUGUCAAUUCUUCUACAAUGUGUGGUUCUAGAUGGUAGUGACCAUCUUGUAACACCAUGCCUAAAAUGUCGAUUGAUUCCUUUCUAAUACUGCUUUUCUUUUCAGAAAGCAUUAUGCCAUGUGCUUGCACAAUGUAAAAAAAAAUUAAAAAGUUGUGUUUGGUGUGUCUGGUGGUUGGUGGAGAAUAACAAAAUGUCAUCAAUGUAUACUAAUCAUGAUGAAGUAUGGGAGAGAAUAUUUGACCAUUGCUUUUUGAAACAGGGAAGGAGCAACUUUGAGAGCAAAGGGCAUUACUGUCCAUUGAUAAUAGGCAUUGGGAAUACAAAAAGCCGUUUUUAGGUCUAUCAGAAGGUGAAAUGCCGAGUUGCCAAAAACCAGCUUUAAGAUCGAACUUCGAAAAGAUUCUGGCAUCUUGAAGAUGGACAAAUAAGGACUAGAAUUUUUGGAAGAGGAAAAUUUUCAUCUCGAAGAAAAGCAUUUAGAGGCUGAUAAUCAAUUACCAAUCUCUUUUUUCCUCGGACUAACUCAGACCUUUUUUCAAUAUAAAAGGCUUGACAUGCCCAAUCUGAAGUUGUUGACUCAAUGAGAUCUUGCCGAAGCAAUUGAUCACAUUCUUGUUUGGCUAAAAGAAGGUCAGAAGGUGGCAUUCCUGGAUGAGUUGCCUUUGUUGGAUUGAUAUCUUCAUUCAGUUUGAAGGGAAUUUGAAUGAAGAACUUUUCAUUCUUCCAAAGAGGUAAAGGAUGACUGAACUGAGAUGAUUUUCAAGACAGAACUGAAGAAGUUUUUGGGUGAUUGAGGCAUAAAGGGGGGCUGUAUCAGAGAGAGUAUACAGACGAAGAAUAUAUGUAUAAGGCAAAAACAUUUGUUUGAACUUGAUUCCAGUUGGUGUGAUGUGGAGAUUUUUUACCAAAAUGAAGGAUAUCAAAUCCUAUAAGAAGAUCUUUGUCUGGUAAAUCUGAACUAACAAUUUUUUGCCAUAUGAUACAGUUUGGAAAAAACUGAAUCCCAAUGGGUUUUUUGGUAAUCAGUGAGGUUUUGAAAACUUUCACCAUUGGCUGCUUUGAAAGAAUUCAGUAUGUUUUUCCCAACAGGAAGGAGGGAGAACUGUAGGAUUGAGCAUACUGCGUUGUGCACUAGUAUCAAGAAAACCAAUAACAGGGAUAGGUUUUAUGAAAUUUAGAAGGAAGGACUGAAAUUUUUACUGAUGGAGCAGUAGGCUUAGUAUCGACCUGGUUAAUUUCUUGAACAGUAGAGAUCACAGAUAUUUCAUCUACCUCAUAAUCAUCUAUUGACUCUGUGAGAAUGAAUGCCAUAUGAUCAUCAUAAUUUGUCUAUUCAGAGAAAAUUAGACUCAACAUCUUCAUGAUCAGAAAGCAUUGAAGAUUUCUAUAAAUGUUGGAUGAGGCGGAUAUCUUUAGCAUACUUGUUCGGACAAUUUCUGGCAAAAUGACCUCGUUUCUUACAAAUGAAACAGCGGUUAUAUUUAUUUUUUCUAAAUUGUGAUGGAUCAUUCUUCCUUAAAGUAUCUAUAAGGCUUUUUGUUUUUCUUAGAAGAGUAGGAUCUGUGAGAAUGUUUGUGGAAAUGGCUUUUCUUUUUGUUGGAACAAGUGCAUUUUUUGUCAUCCUUGCACUGGAUUUUGAGGUAUGGUAUUUUGCAGGCUGAGGUAAAAGGUUGUCUAUUUUCAAUGAGGUCUUUGAAGAAGUCUUUUUGUUCACACAAUCUGUCUAGACAUAACAUAGUCAACUGGAAGAUCUUUCCAAGAGAGAUGUUGACUAUGUCCAUAUUAAAGGAUGUAAGUUGCCUCUGGAGUUCUGGCUGAAGUUCUGGAGGAAGUGAAGCAAUGAAAACAUGCUUUAAAGUUGGAUCAUUGAAUCCAUUUUACUUGUAGUAGAGCAUGCUCAUUCUUUUGUAAUGCAUCUCCAAAUGGUUGCGCUUGAGAGAGCAACACUUCAUCUGAUGAAAUUCUUUUCUGGAUGCUUCAUUUGCUGCAGCUGGUUCUCCAAUGAACUGUUCAUAAAUAACUGUAAGAGCUGUAGCUAUUGUGGUUUGAAUCAGUUGAAGCUGUCUGUAUUCUCCCAGACUUUCAAACCAAUCUUGUAAAGAGCCAGUGAAUCUGGAACAUAAUUCUCGAAGAACUGUUUGAGAUUGUGCAUUUGGUCGUGUUAUUUGGACAUCAACCCAAGCAACAAAUUCUUGGUGUCUAGCUGGCCAUUUAUGGCGAGGAAUGUCAUCAAAAGCGAACCAACUGUGUUGAAGAUGGUUUAGAGGAAGUUUCAGGUGCUGGAGGAUUUGGGGGAAUUGGUAUGAUAAACGUUUUCUUUUUGUUUUUUUUUCGAGCCUUCAACAUUUACCAUACCAAUUCCCCAAUGCCCACGUAUUCUCUGCUCUUCAACCUCUCAAAAUGGUAUGAUAAACGUUUUCUUUUUGUUUUUUUUUUUCGAGCCUUCAACGACAGAGAGAAUUUCCUACUCAUGGCAUCAACUUCCUCCAACGACACUUCUCUUUCUUCUGUCAUUACUCCAGUUUCCCUUUCUUUCACCCUCUCCUUACCCAAAUCUUGCUCCAAACACACUGCUAGUAAGAUAAAAAAAUUUAGUUGAAUAUUCCUAUAUCCCUGAAUCUGCUCAGAUCAAAUGAAUCUUUUUUCCUCUUCUUAGUCCUUAUCACCUCUAUAAACGUCCGCACUCCUUUACUCGCAGUAUCCGAACCCUUAUUUCACCAAAAGACCACAUCCAAAAGAAUAUAUCUAGUCAUCCAGAUUGGAUCAGUGUUCCCUUCAGGCUACCAUAGCUUAACAAUAUAAAGAGAAAGGUUAUACUCAUCUCCAUAUCGGAUGAGUCAGACUAAUCCUAACCUUACAAGGAAGGAAAGGAUUACCAGUCACAGCCUGAAUUGCUAUGCUGGAUACUAGGUUCACACAUUACCAAGAUGUUGUUAUUGGUACUGUCUUAACCACUCUUCAUGCUGGAAGUGUUUUACUCACUUUCUAUCCCAAUUUCAACCUUUCUCUUCAAAACACUAAUCUCUCCACUGCCUUGAAAGUCCAAGUGCAAAUUCAAGGUGCAGAACAAAUCUCUUCAGCAAAAAUUGUAACUUUCACCAUCAAUUGGUCUAUAGGCUCCAGAACCAUGCCUUAGAUCUUCCUACACCUGAGCACCACUCUGACGCCCUCAUGGUGCUAGCAGAAUCAGAUCAGAUACCAACCAUCAUUCAAAUUCCAAGACAGAUCCCUAGACAUGAACUCAUAAAACUCAUGCCCUUGGAAUGGAUUUCAAAUUAUGAGAAGUUCCACACCAAUACUUCUCCUAUCCAGACAAUAGAAAGUAUGUUUGAACGAAGAUCUGAUGGAACUGUCCGAAUGACUUUUUGACCUCCACCAACAGCACCAGAGGAGCCUCCACGAAUCUCAUUCACUUAUUCAGCCAUGGUUACAGCUGUUCAGAACGCUCAAGAAAAGCUGCCAAUUACAGGAUUCAAUUCAGAAGGAUAUCCUGUCUACCCUGCCAAACUUAAUGGCCACUUUCUUUUAGGAUUCCCCCGGAUCAGGAAAUUGUGACCCAGAUUGUCCCUGUUGGGAUGAUUGGGAAGAAGAUGAUGGUGAACCACAGCGGAGAAGAAAACCAAAAAGGAAGAUACCUAAAACUCUGUGCUCACACAACCAAACUAAACCACCUCAUAAUCCUCCACCACCACCAUCUCCAUUACCCAUCUACCAAAAAGAACUUAGAUGGAUUGCAAAAAUUACAAAACUGAAGUUCUUCCACAUAUCCAGAAUUCCAAACCACACAUACAACCUACGGCUUGUAUGAUGUUUUCAUCCACCUCCCAAGAUUAUUCCUCCAAUUUCCUGCUCUAGAAACCCAAACUGAUCCACAACGAAAGGUCAUAACCAAACCUUUUAUUUCUUCAGCCAUAACUCCCAUAGGUCACUUAGAAGACCCCAAACCUUUUGAGGCUGUUCUCAACUGGCAAACCCAAAAUGCCAGAGCUCAAAAUGAAACCUUGGUUGAUAUCCAUACGACGGUUAAUCAUAUCAAUUUACGAACUGAUCAUAUUGAGUCUAAGAUGGAUUCGAUCACUUCCCAAAUGCAGUAAAUUUAUCAAAAUCUUCAAUCCAGAAUCUUUCAAUUAGAUUCAGAAUUAAGAACCAUGCUGAGUCAUAGAUAUUAUGGCCCAGAAUUUGAUAAAAAGAAAAUGAAAUCCAAAAAUUGAAAGCAGAACUUGAACAGAUUGAGUCAGAAAGGGAAAGGCCAACAUUAUUUACCACCUCUCCACCCUACCUACCCUCAACCCAGCCUUCCAUCCAUUUGCACCUAUGCUUUCUCCCAUAAAACCACAAGACCCGUCCAAAUUAUUUGGCAUGACCCAUACUUUGUUUAGAAAUAAUCCUCUGCCAAAACCAUCUAGAUCUAAACCUCAUCCUCGACCAAGACCAGAAAAACAACAUUUUCAGCCACCUUUGUCCAUCCCAUAACCGUAACCGCCUCUUUAUACCCCACUUCCUCCUCAACCACCACCAACUCAGGCCAAAGAUAAAUCCCCAAUGCAACAAUACAGUGCACAAAUAAUCCCAGAUCCAUCCGAUACAGACCAAACUUUUGAUUCAAAUCUAGCCGUUUCAAAGGAUCCAUCUGAAUCUGAAACAAAAUCUUCUUUAGAAUCUUCCAUUUCAUCUAGUGAUUCUGAAAAAUCUUAUGCUGACAUCACUAGAAUCCUUAUGGCCCAACCUGAAGAGACCGAGCCUGUUCAAUCCUCAAGAACUGACCCAUUUUUUGAAAUACCCUCAGAUAUUGAGGAAAGAUCCACCAGAAGCCAUCCUCAGUUCCAAACCGGCUUGCUCAAACCCCAAAAUGAUCAUAAACCUUCAAAUGGUCCAUGGUUCACUUUUGAUGAUAUCCCUGCAGCUAAAUAGAGAGACAGAUUAUCCGAAAUGGCUGCUUGGACAGAUCUCCAAAUGUUAAGAGCAAAUGCUAACUCCAGCAUCAGUCCUUAGAGAACUUGCUACCCGUUUUACGGGAUCUUUAAGAGAUUGGUUUUGAUACUUUAGGAGAGUACAGACAAUUACAGUUUGUGCAACUACCUAAUGUCUCGACUGCUCUUCUGUCAUUCACGAACAAUUAUUGGAGAAUCAGUUGCAAUCUUUGAAGCUGCAAGAAGAGACUACCUCAACAUGAAAUGCUACUCCCUCAACUCCAAAGAUCUUGAUUUCCAUUAUAAACGGAUGUCAAUCCUGUUUUAUAAGCUCAAUGGGUUCAAUGAUUCGACUCUCAAACAUGUAUUUCUGGCAUCAUUACCUGAAGAAUUGCAACCAACAUACAGAGGCAGCUCAUGAGUCCUCAAUCUCACCAUUGACAACAUUUCCUUGGAAAGAUCUUUCAGAUCGCCAAAAGAUGUUUGGAAAAAUUAUGUGAACAGAAACAGUUCUUCAAAGAGCUGUUAAAAGACAAAGAGCCUUUCGAAGUGCUUGCAAAAAGCCUUACUUAUAGAUCAAAUGUAAGAAAAAGAAAGAUUGUGAUUGCAGCACCAAAAAAGAAGAAGCAUUUCUGAAAAUUCAAAAAAUCCAGAUUCGUUUCCUAGAUCAAAAUCCAGGCGAAAAUCAUACAGGUUUUUCAGGACAAGAUCUAGUUCUUUCCGAGAACAGACAAUGAGAAAGUUAAGCCGAUGCUUCGUUUGCAAAAAGAAAGGCUAUUAUGCUAAAGAUUGCCCCAACAAAAAAAAUAAAGCAAUCAAACUUCUUGAGCAUUUACAGGCCACCACUGAUUAUUCUCCUCACAAAGAUGAAAUUGAGUUCUACUUCGCAUAACAAGAGGAGCCUACUGAUGAAACAGUGUUCGCAUUGCAAAACUCAUCCGAUGAUUCUGAAAUUGAUGAGUUUCAAAAUUGUUUUUCACCAACAACUUUGUCUCUCGACACUACCAUAGUUGUCCCUUCCAUAAAACUCCAAAUCUUACCUUCCAAAUUCCAGAGACCAAUUCCCGCCAUUGGACUUCUUGAUACCGGAGCCCAAAGAAGUAUGUUAAACCCAGACAUACUUCCAUCUCAGUCUUGGCAAUAUUAUGAAGAAAAUUUCAAAGCAGUCAAUGGAAAAUUCUUCACCAUCAAGUUGAUUACCAAAAAAACCCAUUAGUAUUCAAAUCUUUCCAAAUUGUGUUAUCUGGACAAAAGUCAUGGGUUCUCAUCUGCCUAAUAAGGACAUCUUGUUAGGAUUUGAUAUCAUUCACCAGAUAAAAACACCCUCCAAAUCAUUCAUACUGGAAUUCGAGUCAAGUCCAUGUUUAAACCAUUCACCAAUGUUCUUAAGCUUUAUGGUUUGUCUGAAACCUCCCGGCCUUUCCAAGACAUUUCCACAAAGCUUUUGAAAUAUUGUCCUGAGUCUCAUGCUGACUUUCAUCAUCCAAAUCCUCUGUGGAAAAUCCACAUUUCUUUGUUCAAUUGCCUUUGAAGUUGAAUGAAGAUGUCAAUCCAACCAAAAGCCACCCAUCCAGGAAUGAGUCCUUCCGACUUAGUCCUAGCCCAAAAGGAAUGUUCUCAGUUGCCUGGCCCAAGGUCUUAUUGAACCCACUAGUUUCCAAUGGGCUUGUCAACUUUUAUGUUGAAAAACAUUAUGAGAUUGUUAGGGGAAAAAAAAUGAUUAGUCAUUGACUAUCAACCUCUAAACAUGUUUUUAUAAGAUACAAAUUCCCUUUGCCAAAAAGACAGAGCAUGUUCACCUACCUAAAAAAUGCUCAACUCUUUUCAAAAUUGAUCUUAAAUCUGAAUUUUGGCAACUUGGAUUAAACCUUCAUAACGUUACAAAAUUGCCUUUUGCAUUCCCAAUGCCCACUAUCAAUGGACAGUUUUACCCUUUGGUCUUAAAACAGCCCCAUCUAUUUUCCAAAAAACCAUGGUCCAAAUCUUCCAACCCAUUUUGCAUAGUGCAUUGAUUUACAUUGACGAUAUUCUGUUGUUUUCAGGUACACAAGAUGAUCAUCGCCAUUUGUUAAAUCAAUUCUUUGAUAUUAUUCAAUCUCAUGGAAUCAUGUUAUCAGCUAAGAAAAGCACAAUUGCCACAAAUAGCAUUGAAUUCCUUGGAAUGACUAUCAAAGAUGGCCACUAUCAGCCAGGAAAGCACAUUGCUCAAGAGCUCAUCCACUUUCCAGAUCAGAAUCUUUCCAAAAGGCAAAUCCAGCAGUUCCUUGGUAUUAUAAAUUAUAUCAGAGAUUUUAUUCCUCAUGUUGAUCAUCACACCCGCCAGCUGUCAGCCUUGCUGAAGAAGAAUCCACCUUCGUGGAAUAACAACCGCACACUUGCUGUCACAAUGUUAAAACAAAUUGCGCAAAAUCCGCCACCAUUAAAGCUCAUCACCGAUGGCAGGCGAAUAUUGCAGACUGAUGCAAGUGACGAAUCAUGGGGGCCAUCCUCCUUAAAGAAACAGAUGGCAAAGAACACUUUAUUGCCUAUGCCAGUGGACACUUCUCUGACACACAAAUCCAUUACCACAGUGUUUCAAAGAAAUUUUAGCUGUCAAGCAUGGUAUUCAAAAGUUCGAGUAUCAUCUUAUCGACUAUCACUUUCUUGUCAGAAUGGACAAUUCAGCUUUUCCCAACAUCAUGAAUUUCAAAGGGAAAAAUGUUCUAGAAAAGAUGUUGCUUAGGCUAAAAGACUGGUUUUCAAAAUAUGAUUUCUCUAUGAAGCAUAUAAAAGGAGACCACAACCUUAUUCCGGAUAUGCUCUCAAGACUUGCUAAACCAGAUAAAUCCUUGUUUUUCAUAUCCUCAUAACACCAUUUUCCCGUCAUCUUCAUGGCCACUUCACUCCCCUCACAAGCCCUUACCUAAAAAACCUUUCCCCUUGGGAAAACUUUCACCACAGUCUUUGCCAUACAAGAGUUUGCAAAGAAAGCUGUAUUUAGGUUUUUCAUGAAAGCCUAUCUCUUAUCAGACUCAUUUCAUUUUCCACUUUCAAUCCAGAAAACUUGUUUCUUACAGGAUUAACCCUGGAUCCCUCCAGAGACAUUUCAGAAGAUGAAUUAUGGUACAUCUGGUGCCUAACUGUCCUCUAUGCCACCAAACUGAUUGUUCCAAUAACAGCCACCUUAGAACAUUUGUUCAAUCCAGACAAAUCAACCUCACUCAUCUGGACGCUUCUUGAAUGGUUUUCUCCAAUUCCAUGGUGGAGAAUGAAACUCCAACAAUUGUCACAAUUUCAUAAUUUGGAACGUAUGCCAGCAUCAGAAGCAAAAAUGUUCACAUCUGUGUUCAUUAUUCAUAGACCAUACUUCCAAACACCCAGAUACACACUCCUUCUGGACUCAAGAUCAAGUUUUUGAAUGGUUCACCACACCUCACCUAUCCAUCUUUGAACAAGAUGAUAAAGUUCAAAAGGAACUCUAUAAUUUCCUUUGUGAACUGAACCACCAACCUGCUCCACACAGAGACAUUUCUCACACCUCCUCGGUCCACAGCAUGAUAUCAUCAUGAUCCCCACUCCUUCAGCAAUUUCAAAACCUAAAUCCACGGGUAUUAUCAUCAAGGAAGAAAAACCAGACUUUACUGAUUUUCUAUACCAAGAUGCACAAGACCCAUGGGAAGCAUUCUUGCCAUUAAGUCAACAUCUUCAAAACCUCCAACAAACUCCACCAACACAUGCCUCAGACGAUCCAACAAAUAAAGCCAGUUCUAGCACACCAACCGGCUCCAAAGAAACACCCAUUUUCUUCUUGGCGCAAGAUAUUUUGCCUUGGCCACCCUGUCGCCAGACCAUCAACAUCCACAGACACUCCAUGUCCAUCACUCAAAGUCCUCUUUUCAAAAGAUAAAGAUGAGACCGACAACUCAUCUGAUGAAGACUACAUGAAUCUCUCAUCUCUGUGAUUCAUGUAAUUUGGCAUCAUUUACUUUUUUCAAAGUUUGUCAUAAUUAAAGCAUGAGUCAUGCUUUAAUUUGUCUUUAUUGCUUUUACUUUUCCAAAAGCUUGUCGCUUGUCAUUAUGUCUUUGCUUUUGCUUUUCAAAGUUUGUAAUAAUUAAAGCAUGAGUCAUGCUUUAAUUUGUCUUUAUUGCUUUUACUUUUCCAAAAGCUUGUCGCUUGUAAUUAUGUCUUUAGAAAAGUGAUAGGGGCCCUGUCCUAUCCUUUUCCUUGGUUUUCCUCCUAUAUAAGCUCAGCUUCUCUUUGUUAGAAGCAUAGCAAAAAAUAAAAUCUCUAGCCUUCUAUAAUCAUGAGUUUCUAAUUUCUCUUUCUCUCUGUCAAUGAAGCUCUAAAAGUUUUAAAAAUAAGAAGAAAACUACAUCUGUUCAUUUUGAAACUUAAGGAAGUAUGCUCUGCACUUGCCUCUUGCAAGGAUCCUGUGCAUCAGAAAACUUUUGAUGAUUUCUUAUCUGGUUUGGUACCCUGUUUUAGACUAAAGGAAAGUCUGUUUUGGGUUAUAUAACCCGAGAUGAAAAUGUUUCAAAGUUUUUUUAUCUCAGAGGUAUAUCGGCUGGAAACCCAAACUUGCGGACUAUUGGUCCAAAGAACAGUUUUAACUGUUAUAGUUCUGGUAUAAACAACGCCACGUAUUCUCGCUGAAUCUAUGGUAUCAGAGCCUUCUUCAUUUUCAUUUUCAUUUUUUUACUACCUCGAUCUUCAUUUUCAUCAUCAGAUUCAUCUACAACGGGUGUAGAUGUACUUGGUUCUUCCGUCUUUGUAGAUGGUUGAACCAUGACAUAACCCAGAGAUGUCUGCAUAUUGAGAUUCUGAGUCGGAGGAGGAUUGGUCAUAAGAACUAGAACUAUUAUCAACGAAUGAAUCUGGAUCUGGAUCACUGUUUUGCAUACCAACACUCUGGUAAAAGUAUUGGUGUACAGGAGCUUUAUCUUUCUUUAAUGGCUCAGGGGUAGAUUUUGGAGAAUCUUUAGGCACUGGAGAGCUGUCUUUUGGUUUUGGUUCUGAAAUUCUGACUUUUGUGGUUGGCUUUUUGGAUGUUGAUGGUAUAGUUGGAGGUUCUGGAGUCUUAUAAAGAAGAUGGGAAAGACCAACGAACUUGUUAUAGUCCAUUGGUGGUUUAGAAGGAUGAUAGAAAGGCUGAUAUGUGUCGAAUAAAGGGGGAGGAAUGGGUAAAGAUUGGGUUUUGGUAAAGGGAUGGUUGUUCUUUGUCUGCAUCAAUCCUGGCUAACUCAGCUUUUAGAUUUCUAAUCUCUGCUUCUUUUUUGUUGAAUUCUGGACCCAUAUACGAUUGUUAAUCAUCGUUCUGAGAUCAACAUCUAAUUCAGAGAUUCUAUUAUGCAAAUUUAGAUAGAUUUGUUCUAACUGAGCAUUGAGUGAAUCCACCUUUAUUUCUGUCUUUNNNNNUUAAUUAAUUAANNNNNUUGCUACAGCUGAUAAAAAUCGUUUUUGCACGAUGCAUAUGUAGAAAGCCUAUUUUUUUUUUUUCGAGUAUUUAUUAGUGUAUUUGCUCUUUACCCCCCUCCUUUUUUUUUUCUUUUACUUUUUUCUUUCUAUAGUAGAGAUAGUCGCACGUAAUGACAGAUCACAGCCCAUAUUAUUAAAAAGCUUGUGUAAGAACGGAUUUCGUUCUAGUGCCCGAAAAUAAUAUUCUAAAGCUUUUGUAUGUUCUCCGUUACUUGUGUGGAUAAGGCCUAUGUUAUAGAGUAUAUAGCUUCGAUCGUAAGGAUCAAUUUCUAGUCGCAUAGCUUCAUAAUAAUUCUGUAAAGCUUCCGCAUAAUUGCCUUCAGAUUGAGCUGACAUCCGUUACGGUCGUCAUUCGAUUCAAAGAAUUCUCCGUUUCAAAACCGUACAUGAGAUGAAAAUCUCAUACGGCUCCUCCUUUAUGUGCAUUAUGAGAAUAAUCCAUGAAAUCAAAAAAGAUUGAAAUAUUCUCAUUAUGAACUAAGUGGGGCUAAUGUUUUUACAAGAAAUCUCUAGCCAACCUUCCUGCAAAAGCUUUUUUCUUAAUAUCACGCGUGUUGGUACUAGAUAAAACCGGAAACUCCAACAAUUUCUUUGUUCUCAACGCCCCUUAAUUUACAGGAAUUAAUCACUUCAACAGUCUUCGAUGGUUAUACGGGUAUCCACAGUACGAACGAGAUGGAUGUUUGUUAUCCCAACCAUUCUUCUUAGUCCCGAUCCCGCUAAGGAAAGGGGGCAGCUUAUAACAAAGUUUUCGUGUUGCUGAUUCCUAGACGUAGCGCCUCUUCCCCUAUGCCGCCUAUUGGUACUGGUGUAGUAGGGUUGACUUGCAAUACAGAACCCAUAGGUGUAACCUUUCGCUCAAUACUAGAAUCGACAAUUGAAGCAUCUGAGGCUGCAUUAAUCGGGGAUACACGACAGAAGGAAUGGUUUUAUCUAUAAACUUCACCUUCAACAAGUAGAUUUUUUCAAUAAUCUUUUUUUUUUUUUUUCUAUCCGAAUUGUCUUUCUUUCUUCUAAGACCGAAAGGGGUAAAUAAAAAACUAAUCAAAUCGCACCAUCUCUGUAAUAGGUAAAUGCCUCUUUUUCUCCUACAGUUGUCGGAAUUAUUCGUAAUAAUAUAUUGGCUACAAUCGAAAAGGUCUUAUCAAUAAAAUUUCCGUUUAUCCGCGAUCUAGGCAUAGGUAAAAAUCCAUUCUAUAAUUCGUUUCAUUACCUCUUGUGAGAAAAUGAUCCCACAAACAAAGGAAUUGUACAGUACAAAAUAACAUAAAAGCAGACGUGUUAAAAAAAAUAAAAAAAAAAAUAGACCGAUCCGUUGAUUCGUUCCAACUCAUUGAUUAAAUCAGGUAGAAAUAUCAGAAAAAAAAAAAAAGGAGCGCCAUCUUUGCAAACAAGAUAUAUAGCCUUAUUUUUUUGUUUUGAACAGUUUUUCACAAACAAAAAAGUUAUCCUUUUCCCCAGACUCAAAGGAAGAAUUUUUUCUUUGCUGAAAGGGUUUCUAUUUUUCUAGUUAGAACGGAUUCGAUUGUCCGUACCCAUCUACCAAUCGAAUUUGAACAACUCGCUAUUCACGCGGGUUCUCGGUCAUAAUCAUUGUGUAGGAGAGAUGGCGAGUGGUUCAAGGCGUAGCAUUGGAACUGCUAUGUAGACUUUUGUUUACCGGGGGUUCGAAUCCCUCUCUUUCCGUACCUUGAACUAAUUCAUCAAUGUUACUGACCGGAAUGUAUCCAAGCAAAAAAGAAUGAAUACCGAAGCAGUCAGACCUUUUUUUGAGCUAGAUUCUCAAUUCCUACGGGAAAGAAAGGGAAAGGGGCAGGCAGGGAUAAAAAUCUACCCUCGGAUCUAUGAUACAUGAAUGGGAUAAAAAAAAAACUCCACGGAUCAAACUCCUUACCUUGUAUCCCUUUCCUUAAGUUAGGUGAAAGGUAAAUUUGUACGAGCCCGUUAUUUUAGUUAGGUUUAAGUUUGACGAGAAUAAUAUUCUACGACAAGCAAUUCAUUUAUUUUCAAACCGACCCAUUGACUAUCUAUUAUUUGAUUGACUAAUCCUUUAUAUUGGAAUGCGCGAAGAGUCAAAUGCUUUGGCAAUUCCUCAUGGUGGGAUGAAUCAAGAUAAUUUUGAACCAGAGAUCUAGAUUUGGGUCAUCCCUUACUGUAAUAAUAUCUCGGGGUUUGCAACGAUAACUUGGUAUAUCGACUAUACGACCAUUAACUAAAAUAUGUCGAUGGUUAACCAAUUGGCGGGCUUGAGGAAUAGUUGAAGCCAUACCCAAUCGAAAAGAAUGUUAUCCAAACGCAUUUCAAGUAAUUGUAGUAAACCAGACCGGUUGACCCUUUGGCUUUUCUGGCGAUACGAACAUAUUUAAGUAAUUGUCGUUCUGUAAGACCAUAAUGAAAACGCAAUUUUUGUUUUUUCUUCUAAACGAAUUCGAUAUUGAGAUUUUUUUACGGAGCGCAAUUGGUUUCUAAAAUCGCUUCCGGCUCUAGGCCUUUUACUCGUUAGUCCCGGCAAAGCCCCCAGACGGCGUAUUUUUUGAAACGAGGCCCUCGGUAACGUGACAUAAAGACUCCUUAUUUUAUUGAAUUUCAUAAACCUAAAUUAAAACUGAGCUACAUGAUAAAUGAAGCAAAAUCCGCUGAAGUAUUGUACUACAAAGAAUACUAAGAUGAUUUGUAUCAAAUUCCAGACCCUUUUUGUAUUGUAUACGCAUAUAGAAAUAUAAAUCAAAAGAGGGUUCCUUUUCUUGAUUUAUUCUGCCGAAAUCGAACUUCCUCCAACUUUUAUUCAUAAUUGGAAGCUCCUACAACAUACUGGAUCGAUGAUCCUUGGAAGAAGCCUUUUCAAUGUUCUUUUCUUUCAAAAAGACAUUAUCAAUCAUGUAAAAAAUCAAACAAAUAGAGAAAAGCCGGCUAUCGGAAUCGAACCGAUGACCAUCGCAUUACAAAUGCGAUGCUCUAACCUCUGAGCUAAGCGGGCUUAAAUAAGAGAAAUUGUACAUGCGUAGGGAUCCUAGGAUCUUAUCUAUUAACCUUUUAUUCUUAGCUAUUCAUAAAGAAUAAAAUAGAGAAUCGAAUUUCAAAUAAAUGUUGAAUACUAUAGAUAUAGAACAUAACGAUUAAUCUAACAAUUACGAGAAUCUAGUGAUGAUAUAUAUUAGCGAAUUUGGAUUUUUUUAUCAAUUCUAUAUUGAUCAACAAUAAAUAUCUUACUCUUAAUUAGAUAAUAAAUACGAUUUGAUUUAUUUAUUAUUUUUUUUUUUUCAUUUUGAAUUCAAGACAUUUAAAAUUAUUUUUUUGUUUCUAACCUAAGAUUCUUAAUAUAUUCUAUUCGAUUAUUCUAUAUUAUAGAAUAUACAUAAUAUUCGAUUAUUAUUCUAUAUUCUAUAUAUAUUUAGUUAUUCUAAUCGAAUAUUAUAUUCGAUUCUUAUUAUCCAUUUCGAAAUUCUAAAUUUGCUCUAUUCUAAUUCGAAAUAAUUAGGCUUUAGACUAAAUAAUUAGAAUUAUCUUCGAAUUCUAAUUUAAUUGACUGAGUAGUUAUAGCUAUUCUAUUGAUUAGGUCUAGCUAUUAUAUUCUAAAUGAUUAAUAAAAAUGAUUUAUUUUAUUUAAUAAAUUGAAAUUGGAAUUUGAGUUAUUUUUGGUUAUGUUAUAUAGGUUCUUCCUUAAGGAAAGGGCAAGUAUAAAUAGAAAAUGAAAUGAAAGAGAAAGAUACAAUCCCGCUAAAUGGAAUCUGGAUUAGAAUGAGACAUUUUUGUUUUCAUUCGAAAAGGGGCGUAAGAAAAAACGAAAAAAUAAAUCGACCGUUCGAGUAUUCCGCCGGAUUGCACGAAAAAAAUGAGAGUAAGGGGGCAUAUAUAUUUUAUGGUAGUUUAUAUCCAUCUAUAUUGAAUUGCGGAUACAGAAAAGAUAGAAUCAUUUCUGACAAGAAAGCAAAACACCUUUCGAUAUAUAUAAAUCCAUAUCUACGGAAUUCUACUGUUUCCGCAGAAAUGAAAGAAAGGGGGAACAGCAUUGAGUUCCUAAAACACAAAGGGGAUAUGGCGAAAUUGGUAGACGCUACGGACUUAAUUGGAUUGAGCCUUAGUAUGGAAACUUACUAAGUGAUAACUUUCAAAUUCAGAGAAACCCAGGAAUUAAAAAUGGUAAUCCUGAGCCAAAUCCUCUUCUCUUUUCCAAGAACAAACAGGGUUCAGAAAGCGAAAAAGGGGAUAGGUGCAGAGACUCAAUGGAAGCUGACAAAUGGAGUUGACUGCCCUUUUUGGUAAAGAAAAAAGAAAGUCAAAUGAAUGCUUCUAUCGAAUAUCGAAACUCGAUAAAGGAUGAAGGAUAAGGGUAUAUAGACUAUGUAUACGCAGCGAAAAACUAACUCAAAAAUCACAACCAAAUACGUAUUUCUUUUUAUGAAAAAGAAAAGAAUUGUUAUUGUUAUGAAUCGAUUCUAAGUUGAAGAAAAGAAUCGAAUAUUCCCGCUCAAAUCAUUCACUCCACCUCCAUGGUCUGAUCGAUCCUUUCUUUUGACUUUUGAAGAACUGAUUAAUCGGACGAGAAUAAAGAAUAGAGUCCAUUCUACAUGUCAAUAUCAAUACGGGCAACAAUGAAAUUUAGAGUAAAAGGAAAAUCCGUCGACUUUAGAAAUCGUGAGGGUUCAAGUCCUCUAUCCCACCCAAAAAAGGCCUAUUGACUCCCUAACCAUUUCUCCUACCUUCUCCUUUUUUUGUUAGUGGUUCAAAAGUCGGUAGGUUUCUCAUCUAUCCUACUCUUUUCCAUUUCCAAAAGGAUAUGGCAGAAUUUUUUUCUCUUAUCACAAGCCGUAUGGUCUAUACGAUAUAUGUAGAAAUGAACACCUUUGAGCAAGGAAUCCCCGUUUUAAUGAUUCCCAAUCCAUAUUAUUGCUCAUACUGAAACUUACAAAGUCUUCUUUUUGAUGAUUCAAGAAAUGAAAUUCCCCUCCCAAGACUUUUAAUCCCUGUUUAUUUUUUAAUUGACAUAGACCCAAGUCAUCUAGUAAGAUGAGAACGGUGUGUCGGAAAUGGUCGGGAUAGCUCAGCUGGUAGAGCAGAGGACUGAAAAUCCUCGUGUCACCAGUUCAAAUCUGGUUCCUGGCAUAUGAUUAAUAUCUAUGAGUAUCUAUCACUACAAAUUCAGUGAUAUGGCUCGCCAUACAUAUUCAUUUAUAGAUCAUGAUACAUACAUACUUAUCCAUCUAGCUCGAUGUCUGGGAAUAGGCCUUUUUUUCUUUUAUUUUUUUUUUAUUUUAUUUCUUCCUUCCCCUCUCUGUGACCCGCUAGAGCCCGUCGAAGUGGUGUGCGCGAUACAAGUUCAUGAUACAGAACUCUUUAAUUUCUUUAUCCCAUUCACAAUAAUAAUACGAAUGAGACUUCAAUUCCUCCGUUUGAUCUAGAGAAAGAACGUACAAAUAUUUCUUGAAUAUUGGGUCAAAAUGAAGAUUAAUUUCUAGAAUUCAAUAAGCAUCUUGUAUUUCAUAAAAAUUGGGGGGCAAUAUAAUCCUUACGUAAGGGCCACCCUAUCCAACUUUCAGGCAUUAAGAUACGUUUCAGUCGUGGAUGAUUAUCAUAAAGGAUUCCCAGCAUAUCAUAAGAUUCCCGUUCUUGAAAAUUCGCACUUUUCCAAACCCAGAAAACCGAUGGAAUUUUAGGAUUACUCCUUGGAGCAAAUACUUUUAUGCAUACCUCUUCUGGUUGAUCUACACCAUACUCUAUUCGCGUAAGAUGAUACACACUGGCUAACAGUCCGCCCGGUGCUACUCAUAGGCACAUUGGGACCGUAGAUAAUUGUAGCCAUAUAUAUACAAAAUGACAGCAACGGAGUGCCAAUCUCGGGCUUUAUUUGUAAAGUUUCUAUUCCUUGGUAAUCAAAGCCCAAAGAUCUAUGAACUAGCCCAUGCUUGACCAGCCAAGCAGACAAACGACCCUGCAUCUUUUUAUCUCUCCCACAUUUUGAUUUCGAUAAAUAUUUCACAUUUACGAUGAAUUUUUGGAAUUUAUGAAGAUUAAUUCGCUCUUUCUUAUUCUGUACAAAUGAAUCCUCCUGCCUAAUUAAUGAAUUCGGGGGAAGAUACUGAACUUUUGUAUUUGAAAAGGUUUCAGGCGGGAUUUCUGACGUAGAUGGUGGUUGAUAAAGUAAUCCUUGAUCAUAAUUUCCAGUAUUAGUACUGCAUACAACACGAAACUUGUGAUUGGUAGUAAAAGUAAACGAGCGAUUCUCCCGUUGCAAUCGAAUUCGAUCUUCAUAGAUUUCUCGAGAUAUUUUCUUACGAAGUUUUGUUAUGGCAUCUAUAACGGCCUCUGGUUUAGGCGGGCAACCCGGCAAAUAAACAUCCACGGGAAUUAGCUUAUCAACUCCUCGAACAGUACUAUACGAAUCGGUACUGAACAUCCCCCCUGUAAUUGUACAUGCUCCAUAGCAAUAACAUAUUUUGGUUCAGGCAUUUGUUCAUAUAAUCUCACUAAAGAAGGAGCCAUUUUCAUUGUUACUGUACCAGCUGUUAAAAUUAGGUCCGCCUGUCUAGGGCUCGAUCUUGGUACCAGCCCAUAACGGUCAAAAUCGAACGCGAGCCGAUUAAUGAAGCAAAUUCAAUGAAACAACAACUGGUACCAUAAAGAAGCGGCCAUAAGCUGGAGAGUCUUGACCAAUUUGAAAGAUCGUUUGAUGUAGUUGAAAUAAAUGAAUUUGGGGUUGUUCGAUCAAGUAAGGAAAAUUCAAUAGAAUUCAUAAUUCUCUCAAUGUUAUUUUUUUGUUUUUUUUUUUUUUUUUACUUUUUGUUAUUGUCUGAAUAUUCAGAAACUAAGACCACUCUAAUGCUCCUUUUCGCCACGCAUAAACUAAACCAACAAUUAGGAUAAGCAUGAAAAUGAAGCUUCUAUAAAUACGGGUACCCCCAAUACAUCAAAACUCAUUGCCCAUGGAUAAAGAAAAACGGUUUCAACAUCAAAAACAACAAAAACUAGAGCAAACAUAUAAUACCGGAUUCGAAAUUGUAACCAAGCAUCGCCAUUGGUUCGAUACCCGAUUCAUAACUAGAAAGUUUCUCUGGCCCUUUGUUAAUCGGGGCUAAAACUGCGGAAAUUAGAAAUGCCAAAAUAGGAAUAACGCUUGAUAUUAUUAGAAAUGCCAGAAAAUAUCAUAUUUGUAAAGCAGAAACAUAGCCAAACUCCUAUGAAUGUGGAAAAUAGACCAAAUUUGUCGAUGCAAAUUGGAAUUCAUUGUCAAGUCAUCGAUAAUUGGUUAAUCAAAACAACAAUUCAUUUUGAUCGAACCGCAAAGUUUCGUUUGUUUGUUGUGAUGUCUCGUUUUAAGAUUUAUCGAUUGGAAUCCUAUUUUCAUUACACUUCCUUCGAUUUUAUUUCAAUAUAGUAUAAAUCUCUUAUACAAACAAAACAAACAAAACCCUUUUGCGUUCACGCGCUUCGGACUUGUCUAAAUCAAAGGAAGUCAAAAGAAAAUUCGAAUUUUUGUUUCGAAUUUCGAAUUCGAAUCUUCGAAAUUCAAUCGAUUUUGAUUCUAUUCUCAAUAUAUAGAAUAUUUUCUGUUUCUGAAUUAUGUUUAUGAAAAGCUAUUCGUUUUUCAAACGCUGAGGUGUCAACAAAUACCGUAAUCCGUUCCUAUAUCCAUGCGACUUACUAUUCCAUUUGAGUUGGGUUACGUCGGCGUCUCCCCGGAUUCGUGUCAUGAUUUUGACUCCGCAAAUUCACCAAAAGUAGGUGAGUAUACCAAAGAAAGGAAGUAUCAAUAACUCUUUGAUUGUGAUGGGAACAGGAAAAGAGGCAAAUCCAUAUGGAAUUCCCAUACGAAGAUUAUUAUUAUUAAUUAUUGAAGAAAGAAAAAUGGGUUUGUUUAGCCGAAUCCGAGAUUCUAAAAAAAAAAUAGCGAUUAAAUCCAUUGAAAUGCGCUUUAGUUUUCAUUUCAGUUUGAUGUUCUGCUCGGAACGAGCUCCCUCCGAGCGAGCUUUUGGGAAUGAUUUGAUUUCGAUGAACCACAAGCAACCCCCAGCGACCAGUUACAAACAACAAAAAUACAAUGAAUGAGGAAAUGAAAACUAUACAAUUUUUGUGUUUCUGUAUUUCCAUUUUGAUUAUUAUUAUUUGAGAUUAGUAUAGGGCUAUACGGACUCGAACCGUAGACCUUCUCGGUAAAACAGAUCGAACUAAUUCUUAUCAAAUGAUUCGAACUCUUUCAAAGACCCAACAUGCAUUUUUUUUUUUUUGCAUUGGGCUCUUUCAUUAACUGAUAGAAAUAUCAGUUAGUCUACCAUAUUUUUUUCUUGACAGACAACUAAGGAAAUGGCUCCAUGUGCUCUAAUUCAUUAUUUGGAUUCGGAUAUAGGAGCACUCCCAAAGUGUUUCAAAGAAGGGUUAUCUUGACGUAGGUCUGCUUAUGGCCUAGAUCAACCUAAACGAAAUGGAGUCUCUAUCAUCCUGAUUAAAGAAUCACAUAUGAAACUUCAUACGCCUUAAGGUUCAUAGAACGAAAAGAGAAUUUUUGAGGUCCUUAUACUCAUUAUGCCUAGCAUUGAAUAGACUAGGUAUUUACCUUAUCAAUCUCUCAAAUCGAUGAUGGAUUCUAUUUGGUUCCUAAAAGGGCACCCGAAUCGGACCGAUCCAUUUGUCAGGCUAUUGUUCUCUUGUUUUGUUCCCUACAAGCCACGGAGUCAGACAUUAAUUUCUCAAAAAGAUCAAUUCUUUUUGAUUGCAUGAUGGACUCCUCUGAAAAACAUUGGCGCACGUGUAAACGAGGUGCUCUACCUAACUGAGCUAUAGCCCUUGUCCUUGUGAUACAUAUUUUAUCAUAUUAUGUAGAUAAUUUCUUGUCAAGAUGAAUAUUCCAUGAUCCCACACCAUAUCUCUUUGAUCUUUUGGAUUGGUAUUGCUUAGAAGUCCUAUUAGAUUUAUACUCCAUCGAUGGGAUGUGAUGGGUCUCUUUUUGUUUUUUUGUUAUAAUGAUAAAUGACCUACUUAACUCAGUGGUUAGAGUAUUGCUUUCAUACGGCGGGAGUCAUUGGUUCAAAUCCAAUAGUAGGUAGAAAUUAUUAGAUACCACGGCCAAUGGUAUCUAAUAAGUUUUUCUACUCACCUUUGUUUAUUGAUUUUGUAUCUUUUCUAUCCGAUUCAAUUUGAUUUUCGAAUUGAAAACCUUUUUCCUUCCGUCAGAAUCCAAUUCCACUUGAUUGAAUUUAAUUGGAUUCAAUUGGCAGAAUCAAAAUAGGGGUAUAAACAGAAAUCGUUGGAUUAUUCUAUUCGGCAAAUUAGUGCUUGUUCUACUCUUACUUUGAUAUUGUAAUUUUUUCUUUCUUUAAAGCUUCUAUCUCGCUUCUGUACAUUUCUGUUCUGAUAGGUCUAAUUUUGCUCAUGGUUUUUUUGCUUAAGUUUCUCAAAUUUAAGCUUGGCAAUCGUAGAUUGGCUAAAUAGGGCAAAGAAAUAUAGAACAAAGAGAUGACAUUGAGUCAAUGAUAGCAGAAGGCCUUGAAAUAGCAGAAGCAAAUUGAGAAAGCUGAAAGCAAGAGACAAACAAUUGAGGCAAUCUAGCUCUCAGACGAGCUAGGACACGAGUAGAGUUAUCAAUGCGAUUCAUAACUAGUUGGUGCGCCCGAAUAGAAUAAUCCAACGAAUUUCUGUUUAUACCCCUAUUUUGAUUCUGCCAAUUGAAUCCAAUUAAUUCAAUCAAGUGGAAUUGGAUUCUGACGGAAGGAAAAAGGUUUCAAUUCGAAAAAUCAAAUUGAAUCGGAUAGAAAAGAUACAAAAUCAAUAAACAAAGGUGAGUAGAAAAACUUAUUAGAUACCAUUGGCCGUGGUAUCUAAUAAUUUCUACCUACUAUUGGAUUUGAACCAAUGACUCCCGCCGUAUGAAAGCAAUACUCUAACCACUGAGUUAAGUAGGUCAUUUAUCAUUAUAACAAAAAACAAAAAGAGACCCAUCACAUCCCAUCGAUGGAGUAUAAAUCUAAUAGGACUUCUAAGCAAUACCAAUCCAAAAGAUCAAAGAGAUAUGGUGUGGGAUCAUGGAAUAUUCAUCUUGACAAGAAAUUAUCUACAUAAUAUGAUAAAAUAUGUAUCACAAGGACAAGGGCUAUAGCUCAGUUAGGUAGAGCACCUCGUUUACACGUGCGCCAAUGUUUUUCAGAGGAGUCCAUCAUGCAAUCAAAAGAAUUGAUCUUUUUGAGAAAUUAAUGUCUGACUCCGUGGCUUGUAGGGAACAAAACAAGAGAACAAUAGCCUGACAAAUGGAUCGGUCCGAUUCGGGUGCCCUUUUAGGAACCAAAUAGAAUCCAUCAUCGAUUUGAGAGAUUGAUAAGGUAAAUACCUAGUCUAUUCAAUGCUAGGCAUAAUGAGUAUAAGGACCUCAAAAAUUCUCUUUUCGUUCUAUGACCUUAAGGCGUAUGAAGUUUCAUAUGUGAUUCUUUAAUCAGGAUGAUAGAGACUCCAUUUCGUUUAGGUUGAUCUAGGCCAUAAGCAGACCUACGUCAAGAUAACCCUUCUUUGAAACACUUUGGGAGUGCUCCUAUAUCCGAAUCCAAAUAAUGAAUUAGAGCACAUGGAGCCAUUUCCUUAGUUGUCUGUCAAGAAAAAAAUAUGGUAGACUAACUGAUAUUUCUAUCAGUUAAUGAAAGAGCCCAAUGCAAAAAAAAAAAAAUGCAUGUUGGGUCUUUGAAAGAGUUCGAAUCAUUUUGAUAAGAAUUAGUUCGAUCUGUUUUACCGAGAAGGUCUACGGUUCGAGUCCGUAUAGCCCUAUACUAAUCUCAAAUAAUAAUAAUCAAAAUGGAAAUACAGAAACACAAAAAUUGUAUAGUUUUCAUUUCCUCAUUCAUUGUAUUUUUGUUGUUUGUAACUGGUCGCUGGGGGUUGCUUUGUGGUUCAUCGAAAUCAAAUCAUUCCCAAAAGCUCGCUCGGAGGGAGCUCGUUCCGAGCAGAACAUCAAACUGAAAUGAAAACUAAAGCGCAUUUCAAUGGAUUUAAUCGCUAUUUUUUUUUUAGAAUCUCGGAUUCGGCUAAACAAACCCAUUUUUCUUUCUUCAAUAAUUAAUAUAAUAAUCUUCGUAUGGGAAUUCCAUAUGGAUUUGCCUCUUUUCCUGUUCCCAUCACAAUCAAAGAGUUAUUGAUACUUCCUUUCUUUGGUAUACUCACCUACUUUUGGUGAAUUUGCGGAGUCAAAAUCAUGACACGAAUCCGGGGAGACGCCGACGUAACCCAACUCAAAUGGAAUAGUAAGUCGCAUGGAUAUAGGAACGGAUUACGGUAUUUGUUGACACCUCAGCGUUUGAAAAACGAAUAGCUUUUCAUAAACAUAAUUCAGAAACAGAAAAUAUUCUAUAUAUUGAGAAUAGAAUCAAAAUCGAUUGAAUUUCGAAGAUUCGAAUUCGAAAUUCGAAACAAAAAUUCGAAUUUUCUUUUGACUUCCUUUGAUUUAGACAAGUCCGAAGCGCGGUGAACGCAAAAGGGUUUUGUUUGUUUUGUUUGUAUAAGAGAUUUAUACUAUAUUGAAAUAAAAUCGAAGGAAGUGUAAUGAAAAUAGGAUUCCAAUCGAUAAAUCUUAAAACGAGACAUCACAACAAACAAACGAAACUUUGCGGUUCGAUCAAAAUGAAUUGUUGUUUGAUUAACCAAUUAUCGAUGACUUGACAAUGAAUUCCAAUUUGCAUCGACAAAUUUGGUCUAUUUUCCACAUUCAUAGGAGUUUGGCUAUGUUUCUGCUUUACAAAUAUGAUAUUUUCUGGCAUUUCUAAUAAUAUCAAGCGUUAUUCCUAUUUUGGCAUUUCUAAUUUCCGCAGUUUUAGCCCCGAUUAACAAAGGGCCAGAGAAACUUUCUAGUUAUGAAUCGGGUAUCGAACCAAUGGGCGAUGCUUGGUUACAAUUUCGAAUCCGGUAUUAUAUGUUUGCUCUAGUUUUUGUUGUUUUUGAUGUUGAAACCGUUUUUUCUUUAUCCAUGGGCAAUGAGUUUUGAUGUAUUGGGGGUACCCGUAUUUAUAGAAGCUUUCAUUUUCAUGCUUAUCCUAAUUGUUGGUUUAGUUUAUGCGUGGCGAAAAGGAGCAUUAGAGUGGUCUUAGUUUCUGAAUAUUCAGACAAUAACAAAAAAGUAAAAAAAAAAAAAAAAAAAACAAAAAAUAACAUUGAGAGAAUUAUGAAUUCUAUUGAAUUUUCCUUACUUGAUCGAACAACCCCAAUAUUCAUUUAUUUCAACUACAUCAAACGAUCUUUUCAAAUUGGUCAAGACUCUCCAGCUUAUGGCCGCUUCUUUAUGGUACCAGUUGUUGUUUUCAUUGAAUUUGCUUCAUUAUCGGCUCGCGGUUCGAUUUUGACCGUUAUGGGCUGGUACCAAGAUCGAGCCCUAGACAGGCGGACCUAUAUUUUAACAGCUGGUACAGUAACAAUUGAAAAUGGCUCCUUCUUUAGUGAGAUUAUAUGAACAAAUGCCUGAACCAAAAUAUGUUAUUGCUAUGGGAGCAUGUACAAUUACAGGGGGGAUGUUCAGUACCGAUUCGUAUAGUACUGUUCGAGGAGUUGAUAAGCUAAUUCCCGUGGAUGUUUAUUUGCCGGGUUGCCGCCUAAACCAGAGGCCGUUAUAGAUGCCAUAACAAAACUUCGUAAGAAAAUAUCUCGAGAAAUCUAUGAAGAUCGAAUUCGAUUGCAACGGGAGAAUCGCUCGUUUACUUUUACUACCAAUCACAAGUUUCGUGUUGUAUGCAGUACUAAUACUGGAAAUUAUGAUCAAGGAUUACUUUAUCAACCACCAUCUACGUCAGAAAUCCCGCCUGAAACCUUUUUCAAAUACAAAAGUUCAGUAUCUUCCCCCGAAUUCAUUAAUUAGGCAGGAGGAUUCAUUUGUACAGAAUAAGAAAGAGCGAAUUAAUCUUCAUAAAUUCCAAAAAUUCAUCGUAAAUGUUGAAAUAUUUAUCGAAAUCAAAAUGUGGGAGAGAUAAAAAAGAAUGCAGGGUCGUUUUGUCUGCUUGGCUGGUCAAGCAUGGGCUAGUUCAUUAGAUCUUUGGGCUUUGAUUACCAAGGAAUAGAAACUUUACAAUAAAGCCCGAGGAUUGGCACUCCGUUGCUGUCAUUUUGUAUAUAUAUGGCUACAAUUAUCUACGGUCCCAAUGUGCUAUGAUGUAGCACCGGGCGGACUGUUAGCCAGUGUGUAUCAUCUUACGCGAAUAGAGUAUGGUGUAGAUCAACCAGAAGAGGUAUGCAUAAAAGUAUUUGCUCCAAGGAGUAAUCCUAAAAUUCCAUCGGUUUUCUGGGUUUGGAAAAGUGCGAAUUUUCAAGAACGGGAAUCUUAUGAUAUGCUGGGAAUCCUUUAUGAUAAUCAUCCACGACUGAAACGUAUCUUAAUGCCUGAAAGUUGGAUAGGGUGGCCCUUACGUAAGGAUUAUAUUGCCCCCAAUUUUUAUGAAAUACAAGAUGCUUAUUGAAUUCUAAGAAAUUAAUCUUCAUUUUGACCCAAUAUUCAAGAAAUAUUUGUACGUUCUUUCUCUAGAUCAAACGGAGGAAUUGAAGUCUCAUUCGUAUUAUUAUUGUGAAUGGGAUAAAGAAAUUAAAGAGUUCUGUAUCAUGAACUUUGUAUCGCGCACACCACUUCGACGGGCUCUAGCGGGUCACAGAGAGGGGAAGGAAGAAAUAAAAUAAAAAAAAAAUAAAAGAAAAAAAGGCCUAUUCCCAGACAUCGAGCUAGAUGGAUAAGUAUGUAUGUAUCAUGAUCUAUAAAUGAAUAUGUAUGGCGAGCCAUAUCACUGAAUUUGUAGUGAUAGAUACUCAUAGAUAUUAAUCAUAUGCCAGGAACCAGAUUUGAACUGGUGACACGAGGAUUUUCAGUCCUCUGCUCUACCAGCUGAGCUAUCCCGACCAUUUCCGACACACCGUUCUCAUCUUACUAGAUGACUUGGGUCUAUGUCAAUUAAAAAAUAAACAGGGAUUAAAAGUCUUGGGAGGGGAAUUUCAUUUCUUGAAUCAUCAAAAGAAGACUUUGUAAGUUCAGUAAUGAGCAAUAAUAUGGAUUGGGAAUCAUUAAAACGGGGAUUCCUUGCUCAAAGGUGUUCAUUUCUACAUAUAUCGUAUAGACCAUACGGCUUGUGAUAAGAGAAAAAAAUUCUGCCCAUAUCCUUUUGGAAAUGGAAAAGAGUAGGAUAGAUGAGAAACCUACCGACUUUUGAACCACUAACAAAAAAAGGAGAAGGUAGGAGAAAUGGUUAGGGAGUCAAUAGGCCUUUUUUGGGUGGGGAUAGAGGGACUUGAACCCUCACGAUUCUAAAGUCGACGGAUUUCCUUUUACUCUAAAUUUCAUUGUUGCCCGUAUUGAUAUUGACAUGUAGAAUGGACUCUAUCUUUAUUCUCGUCCGAUUAAUCAGUUCUUCAAAAGUCAAAAGAAAGGAUCGAUCAGACCAUGGAGGUGGAGUGAAUGAUUUGAGCCGGGAAUAUUCGAUUCUUUCUUCAACUUAGAAUCGAUUCAUAACAAUAACAAUUCUUUUCUUUUUCAUAAAAAGAAAUACGUAUUUGGUUGUGAUUUUUGAGUUAGUUUUUCGCUGCGUAUACAUAGUCUAUAUACCCUUAUCCUUCAUCCUUUAUCGAGUUUCGAUAUUCGAUAGAAGCAUUCAUUUGACUUUCUUUUUCUUUUACCAAAAAGGGCAGUCAACUCCAUUUGUUAGAACAGCUUCCAUUGAGUCUCUGCACCUAUCCCCUUUUUCGCUUUCUGAACCCCUGUUUGUUCUUGGAAAAGAGAAGAGGAUUUGGCUCAGGAUUACCCAUUUUUAAUUCCUGGGUUUCUCUGAAUUUGAAAUUAUCACUUAGUAAGUUUCCAUACUAAGGCUCAAUCCAAUUAAGUCCGUAGCGUCUACAAUUUCGCCAUAUCCCCUUUGUGUUUUAGGAACUCAAUGCUGUUCCCCUUUCUUUCAUUUCUGCGGAAACAGUAGAAUUCCGUAGAUAUGGAUUUAUAUAUAUCGAAAGUGUUUUGCUUUCUUGUCAGAAAUGAUUCUAUCUUUUCUGUAUCCGCAAUUCAAUAUAGAUGGAUAUAAACUACCAUAAAUAUAUAUGCCCCCCUUACUCUCAUUUUUUUCGUGCAAUCCGGCGGAAUACUCGAACGGUCGAUUUAUUUUUUCGUUUUUCUUACGCCCCUUUUCGAAUGAAACAAAAAUGUCUCAUUCUAAUCCAGAUUCCAUUUAGCGGGAUUGUAUCUUUCUCUUUCAUUUCAUUUUCUAUUUAUACUUGCCCUUUCCUUAAGGAAGAACCUAUAUAACAUAACCAAAAAUAACUCAAAUUCCCAAUUUCAAUUUAUUAAAUAAAAAUAAAUCAUUUUAUUAAUCAUUUUAGAAUAUAAUAGCUAGACCUAAUCAAUAGAAUAGCUAUAACUACUCAGUCAAUUAAAUUAGAAUUCGAAGAUAAUUCUAAUUAUUUAGUCUAAAAGCCUAAUUAUUCGAAUUAGAAUAGAGCAAAUUUAGAAUUUCGAAAAUGGAUAAUAAGAAUCGAAUAUAAUAUUCGAUUUAGAAUAACUAAAUAUAUAUAGAAUAUAGAAUAAUAAUCGAAUAUUAUGUAUAUUCUAUAAUAUAGAAUAAUCGAAUAGAAUAUAUUAAGAAUCUUAGGUUAGAAACAAAAAAAUAAUUUUAAAUGUCUUGAAUUCAAAAUGAAAAAAAAAAAAAUAAUAAAUAAAUCAAAUCGUAUUUUAUUAUCUAAUUAAGAGUAAGAUAUUAUUGUUGAUCAAUAUAGAAUUGAUAAAAAAAUCCAAAUUCGCUAAUAUAUAUCAUCACUAGAUUCUCGUAAUUGUUAGAUUAAUCGUUAUGUUCUAUAUCUAUAGUAUUCAACAUUUAUUUGAAAUUCGAUUCUCUAUUUUAUUCUUUAUGAAUAGCUAAGAAUAAAAGGUUAAUAGAUAAGAUCCUAGGAUCCUACGCAUGUACAAUUCUCUUAUUUAAGCCCGCUUAGCUCAGAGGUUAGAGCAUCGCAUUUGUAAUGCGAUGGUCAUCGGUUCGAUUCCGAUAGCCGGCUUUUCUCUAUUUGUUGAUUUUUUACAUGAUGAUAAUGUCUUUUUGAAAGAAAAGAACAUUGAAAAGGCUUCUUCCAAGGAUCAUCGAUCCAGUAUGUUGUAGGAGCUUCCAAUUAUGAAUAAAAGUUGGAGGAAGUUCGAUUUCGGCAGAAUAAAUCAAGAAAAGGAACCCUCUUUUGAUUAUAUUUCUAUAUGCGUAUACAAUACAAAAGGGGUCUGGAAUUUGAUACAAAUCAUCUUAGUAUUCUUUGUAGUACAAUACUUCAGCCGGAUUUUGCUUCAUUUAUCAUGUAGCUCAGUUUUAAUUUAGGUUUAUGAAAUUCAAUAAAUAAGGAGUCUUUAUGUCACGUUACGAGGGCCUCGUUUCAAAAAAAUACGCCGUCUGGGGCUUUGCCGGGACUAACGAGUAAAAGGCCUAGAGCCGGAAGCGAUUUUAGAAACCAAUGCGCUCCGUAAAAAAAUCUCAAUUCGAAUUCGUUUUAGAAGAAAAACAAAAAUUUGCGUUUUCAUUAUGGUCUUUACAGAACGACAAUUACUUAAAUAUGUUCGUAUCGCCAGAAAAGCCAAAGGGUCAACCGGUCUGGUUUACUACAAUUACUUGAAAUGCGUUUGGAUAACAUCUUUUUCGAUUGGGUAUGGCUUCAACUAUUCCUCAAGCCCGCCAAUUGGUUAACCAUCGACAUAUUUAGUUAAUGUCGUAUAGUCGAUAUACCAAUUAUCGUUGGCAAACCCCAGAUAUUAUUACAGUAAGGGAUGACCCAAAAUCUAGAUCUCUGUUUCAAAAUUAUCUUGAUUCAUCCCACCAUGAGGAAUUGCCAAAGCAUUUGACUCUUCGCGCAUUCCAAUAUAAGGAUAUCAAUCAAAUAAUAGAUAGUCAAUGGGUCGGUUUGAAAAUAAAUGAAUUGCUUGUCGUAGAAUAUUAUUCUCGUCAAACCUUAAACCUAACUAAAAUAACGGGCUCGUACAAUUUACCCUUUCACCUAACUUAAGGAAAGGGAUACAAGGUAAGGAGUUUGAUCCGUGGAGUUUUUUUUUAUCCAUUCAUGUAUCAUAGAUCCGAGGGUAGAUUUUAUCCCCUGCUGCCCCUUCCCUUUUCUUUCCGUAGGAAUUGAGAAUCUAGCUCAAAAAAAGGUCUGACUGCUUCGGUAUUCAUUCUUUUUGCUUGGAUACAUUCCGGUCAGUAACAUUGAUGAAUUAUUCAAGGUACGGAAAGAGAGGGAUUCGAACCCCCGGUAAACAAAAGUCUACAUAGCAGUUCCAAUGCUACGCCUUGAACCACUCGGCCAUCUCUCCUACACAAUGAUUAUGACCGAGAACCCGCGUGAAUAGCGAGUUGUUCAAAUUCGAUUGGUAGAUGGUACGGACAAUCGAUCCGUUCUAAACUAGAAAAAUAGAAACCCUUUCAGCAAAGAAAAAAUUCUUCCUUGAGUCUGGGAAAGGAUAAUUUUUUGUUUGUGAAAACUGUUCAAAACAAAAAACAAUAAGGCUAUAUAUCUUGUUUUGCAAAGAUGGCGCUCCUUUUUUUUUUUUUUUCUUGAUAUUUCUACCUGAUUAAUCAAUGAGUUGAACGAAUCAACGAUCGGUCUAUUUUUUUUUUUAUUUUUUUAACACGUCUGCUUUUAUGUUUAUUUUUACUGUAACAAUUCCUUUGUUUGUGGGAUCAUUUUCUCACAAGAGGUAAUGAAACGAAUUAUAGAAUGGAUUUUUACCUAUGCCUAGAUCGCGGAUAAACGGAAAUUUUAUUGAUAAGACCUUUUCGAUUGUAGCCAAUAUAUUAUACGAAUAAUUCCGACAACUUAGGAGAAAAAGAGGCAUUACCUAUUACAGAGAUGGUGCGAUUUGAUUAUUUUUUAUUACCCCUUUCGGUCUUAGAAGAAAGAAAGACAAUUCGGGAUAGAAAAAAAAAAAAAAAAAAAGAUUAUUGAAAAAAUCUACGCUUGUUGAAGGUGAAGUUUAUAGAUAAAACCAUUCCUUCUGUCGUGUAUCCCCGAUUAAUGCAGCCUCAGAUGCUUCAAUGUCAUUCUAGUAUUGAGCGAAAGGUUACACCUAUGGGUUCUGUAUUGCAAGUCAACCCUACUACACCAG
rnacentral:lncRNA from 1 species